AUGCGGAGGACCAAAAUGAGAAAAAGAGCGUCGAGAAAUGGAGCGCCCGAGCUAGUCUGGCACUGCGUUAGUCAGCCGCGGUUCGGUUGCAGCGCGCAGGCACGUGCGUGGACGCCUAAGGGGCGGGUCCUUCGGCCGGGAAGCCCCGUUGGCCCGCGCGGCUCUUCCUUUCCGAUCCGCCAUCUGUGGUGGGGCCGCCGCCAAGAUGCAGAUUUUCGUGAAGACCCUUACGGGGAAAACCAUCACGCUCGAGGUAGGGCGGGUGGCGUGCGAGCCAAGGCCCGACCGAGGCCUCAGUGCCGCCUGAGCUGCGCAUGGCUGCUCACAGGCGCCAGCGUUCGGCUUUCGGUGCCGAAGGUUCGCGCCUGCCCAUUCCGAGUGGCCGAGGGAAGGGAUGCGGCAGGAAGUGCUGCUCGCCGGCCAGGCUCGAGCGCGUGGCACGGCGGCCGCCGCUCGCCCGGGUCUGGGGACGGAGUUGGCUUGUACAACUCCAGGGAGGCGGUCCACUGAGUCCUUCGUCGAAUAGGUUGAACCCUCGGACACUAUAGAAAAUGUAAAGGCCAAGAUCCAGGAUAAGGAAGGAAUUCCUCCUGAUCAGCAGAGGCUGAUCUUCGCUGGUAAGCAGCUGGAAGAUGGCCGU